UUUUAUUAUCAUUCCUUUCUAGCCUUCUGAUGUAUCCUUUAUCUUUCUUUAGUAUAGUUUUAGUACAUCAGUGGAAUGGAAUGGAAUGGAAUGGAAUGGAAUGGAAUAGAAUAGAAAUCAGCCUUCUGAGAACUUGUAGUCAAUUCUCAUCUCUCACCUCAUCUUGGGGACCGCAACAACACCUCAACAAUUGGUGACCACAGAGGAUGGUUUCAACUAUUUUCAUUUUUGGGACCAUGGGAUGACAGACACAGAAAAGCCAUUUCUGCUGCUGGAACACAAGGAUGAAGAGUUUCUUCAGACACUUCAUGUGCACUUUUCCUAGGAGAUUGUGAACUGGAGUGCUCUGGCAUGUUUGCCUUGCUCACCAGGCCAGAGAUGCAGUGGGACAAGUGACAAAGGGGACAAUUCAAAGAUCAGACCAUCAAAGAGCAAUGAUGCCUUCAGAAGAGAAGUUUGGCAAGUACAUAAAGGAUUAUAUUUAAUUAUACUUAAAUUUGAUAGUACUAGGAUUUUAUUCUCUAGGACAAAACUUUCAUUCACAGUUGCAGCAAUUUGCACUUUUCAGCAGAAAAGAGCUUGUUUGAUUCUGUUACUCAGCAUCAGCUCUGACGGACAAGUGUGGUGCCUGAGCAAAAAAAAAAAGCUGAGAAGAAAGUGGAAGAGGGAGAAAAUAAAAACAGGUGGCAAGGGGCCCAGGAACAAUAAAAGCCUGAAUGAGAACACCUUUAUCACUUUUGCAACAGCAGCUUAAAGGCCCAAGGAGAGAAAUAGAUUUUGUAAAUCAGACUAAAUAUUUUUUACAGGGUGCAGUGUGCAGCUUAAGAACCCAGCUGGGAAAAAUAGCUCCUGCAAAUCAGUGAAGAAACCAUAUUUUACUGGCUGCUGUUUAGGAGCAAGGAGAG
rnacentral:lncRNA from 1 species